rnacentral:rRNA from 1 species
UACGUAGGGGGCAAGCGUUGUCCGGAUUUAUUGGGCGUAAAGAGCUCGUAGGUGGUUUGGUAAGUCGGAUGUGAAAUCUCCAGGCUCAACCUGGAGGGGUCAUUCGAUACUGCCAUACUAGAGGUCGGUAGGGGAGUGUGGAAUUCCUGGUGGAGCGGUGAAAUGCGCAGAUAAUCAGGAGGAACACCAGCGGCGAAGGCGGCG